AUUGAACGCUGGCGGCAUGCUUUACACAUGCAAGUCGAAUGGUAACAGGCCGCAAGGUGCUGACGAGUGGCGAACGGGUGAGUAAUGCAUCGGAACGUGCCCAGUCGUGGGGGAUAACUGCUCGAAAGAGCAGCUAAUACCGCAUACGAUCUAUGGAUGAAAGCGGGGGACCGUAAGGCCUCGCGCGAUUGGAGCGGCCGAUGUCAGAUUAGGGAGUUGGUGGGGUAAAGGCUCACCAAGCCAACGACCUGUAGCUGGUCUGAGAGGACGACCAGCCCAACUGGGACUGAGACACGGCCCAGACUCCAACGGGCGGCAGCAGUGGGGAAUUUUGGACAAUGGGGGAAACCCUGAUCCAGCAAUGCCGCGUGCAGGAAGAAGGCCUUUGGGUUGUAAACUGCUUUUGUACGGAACGAAACGGUCUGGGUUAAUACCCUGGGCUAAUGACGGUACCGUAAGAAUAAGCACCGGCUAACUACGUGCCAGCAGCCGCCGUAACAC
rnacentral:rRNA from 1 species